GACGAACGCUGGCGGCGUGCUUAACACAUGCAAGUCGAACGGAAAGGCCCUGCUUUUGUGGGGUGCUCGAGUGGCGAACGGGUGAGUAACACGUGAGUAACCUGCCCUUGACUUUGGGAUAACUUCAGGAAACUGGGGCUAAUACCGGAUAGGAGCUCCUGCUGCAUGGUGGGGGUUGGAAAGUUUCGGCGGUUGGGGAUGGACUCGCGGCUUAUCAGCUUGUUGGUGGGGUAGUGGCUUACCAAGGCUUUGUCGGGUAGCCGGCCUGAGAGGGUAACCGGCCACAUUGGGACUGAGAUACGGCCCAGACUCCUACGGGAGGCAGCAGUGGGGAAUAUUGCACAAUGGGCGGAAGCCUGAUGCAGCAACGCCGCGUGCGGGAUGACGGCCUUCGGGUUGUAAACCGCUUUCGCCUGUGACGAAGCGUGAGUGACGGUAAUGGGUAAAGAAGCACCGGCUAACUACGUG
rnacentral:rRNA from 1 species